AGCGUAGACGGCAAGGCAAGUCUGAAGUGAAAGCCCGGUGCUUAACGCCGGGACUGCUUUGGAAACUGUUUGGCUGGAGUGCCGGAGAGGUAAGCGGAAUUCCUAGUGUAGCGGUGAAAUGCGUAGAUAUUAGGAAGAACACCAGUGGCGAAGGCGGCUUACUGGACGGUAACUGACGUUGAGGCUCGAAAGCGUGGGGAGCAAAACA
rnacentral:rRNA from 1 species